rnacentral:rRNA from 1 species
AAAUUGAAGAGUUUGAUCAUGGCUCAGAUUGAACGCUGGCGGCAGGCCUAACACAUGCAAGUCGAACGGUAACAGGAAGAAGCUUGCUUCUUUGCUGACGAGUGGCGGACGGGUGAGUAAUGUCUGGGAAACUGCCUGAUGGAGGGGGAUAACUGCUGGAAACGGUAGCUAAUACCGCAUAACGUCGCAAGACCAAAGAGGGGGAGCUUCGGGCCUCUUGCCAUCGGAUGUGCCCAGAUGGGAUUAGCUAGUAGGUGGGGUAACGGCUCACC